rnacentral:rRNA from 1 species
UUAGUUUUUGAAGUAUGGCCUGCCCACUGACCUUGAAUGUUGAAGGGCCGCGGUAUUUUGACCGUGCAAAGGUAGCAUAGUCAUUAGUUCUUUAAUUGUGAUCUGGUAUGAAUGGCUUGACGAGGCAUAAGCUGUCUUAAUUUUGAAUUGUUUAUUGAAUUUGGUCUUUGAGUUAAAAUUCUUAGAUGUUUUUAUGGGACGAGAAGACCCUAUAGAGUUUGACAUUUAUUAUGGUCUCUUUCUGUUUGUGAGGGUUCACUAGGGCUGUUUAAUAUGUUUUGUUGGGGUGAUGGGAGGGAUAUUAUUUAACCCCUCCUUUGUGUUGUUAUAUUUAUUUAUAUUUGCUUGAUCCAUUUAUUUUGAUUGUAAGAUUAAAUUACCUUAGGGAUAACAGCGUUAUCUCCCUUGAGAGUUCUUAUCGGCAGGGGGGUUUGCGACCUCGAUGUUGGAUUAAGGUUUAUUUUCGGUGUAGGGGCUGGAAAGUUAUAUUGGGUCUGUUCGACCUUUAAA